UAUUAAAAAUUUUAUUUAUUUUUACUGUUAAAAACUAGCAUGGCUGACAGAAAAAUCAAAAAGUUAUAAGUCGCGUGCCACAUGUACCUCAUUCUAACGUACAAGUACUAGUUUUUAAAUGUAGAAUGAAAGGAAUUUUUAACA
rfam:Gossypium raimondii Chr04_contig_34, whole genome shotgun sequence.